GAUGAACGCUGGCGGCGUGCCUAAUACAUGCAAGUCGAGCGGACAGACGAGGAGCUUGCUGCUCUGACGUUAGCGGCGGACGUGUGAGUAACACGUGGAUCACCUCCCUAUAAUACUGGUAUAACUUCGGGAAACCGGAUCUAAUACCGGAUGAUAUAUUGAACCGCAUGGUUCGAUAGUGAAAUACGGUCUUGCUGUCACUUAUAGAUGGAUCCGCGCUGCAUGAGCUAGUUGGUAAGGUAACGGCCUACCAAGGCGACGAGGCGUAGCCGGCCUCAGAGGCUGAUCGCCCACCUUGGAACUGAGACACGGUCCAGACUACUACGGGAGGCAGCAGUAGGGAAUGUUCCGCAAUGGGCGAGAGUCUGACGGAGCAACGCCGAGUGAGUGAUGAAGGUGUUCGGUUCGUAAAAAUCUGUUAUUAGGGAAGAACAGAUGUCGAAGUAACUGUGCACGUCUUGACGGUAACUAAUAAGAAAGCAACGGCUAACUACGUG
rnacentral:rRNA from 1 species